CAGGAUGUAGCUUAGCUUGGUAAAGUGCUUGGUUCGGGACCAAGAGACCGCGGGUUCAAAUCCCGCCAUCCUGACCA
rnacentral:tRNA from 3 species